UCUGAGUACUACACAGGAGGAUUCUACAUGCCAGAUGCUGUGGUCCUUGUAAGAUCCAUCCAUGCCAGCACAGGAGAGAUAUGUUUCUUCUUAUGUCUAGGAUGAACAGCACAUUAACAACUCCCCGGUGGUGACAAUUAGGGGCAAUUUGUGAACUAAAAUUGGCCAGUUGCCUUAUUACUUUGGAGGUGACAGUCUACCACUUCAAUCUUCUUUAAAUCCAUGCUUAAGACCAAGCCUGUCUGCUGGAAGGAUUUUCUGCAUUGCACGUUUGUCUUUUCGAUGCAGAGCUGCGACACAGUGGGAAGAAGAAGAGAUUCAAGUCCUACUGAGCCAUACAUGUUGGAUACUCAUUCUCAGUACUUCACUCAGGAUGAAGAGUCAUGUACCUU
rnacentral:lncRNA from 1 species